rnacentral:rRNA from 1 species
AGAGAGAGACAUGCGCGCAUAUCAAUAAGCGGAGGAAAAGAAACUAACAAGGAUUCCCCUUAGUAACGGCGAGUGAAGCGGGAAGAGCUCAAAUUUGAAAUCUUCAAGGGUUCUACCUUGACGAAUUGUAGUUUAAAGAAGUGUUUUCUGUUGAGGUUUUGGUAAAAGUUCUUUGGAAUAGGACAUCAUAGAGGGUGAGAAUCCCGUAUUUGACCUUUACUUUCAACUUUGUGAUACACUUUCAAAGAGUCGGAUUGUUUGGGAAUGCAGUCCAAAAUGGGUGGUAAAUUUCAUCUAAAGCUAAAUAUUGGCGAGAGACCGAUAGCGAACAAGUACCGUGAGGGAAAGAUGAAAAGAACUUUGAAAAGAGAGUUAAACAGUACGUGAAAUUGUCAAAAGGGAAGCGUUUGACACCAGUGUUGUUUUUCUGAAAAUCAAUUAAAGAACUGUUUAUGCUAAGCUGUUUAGACUUUAUCAGCUAACUGUUUAGUUUUGAGCUUUUCUUUAAUGCACUUUUCAGUUAACAAGUCAACAUCAAUUUCUUUUGCUGUAAAAAAGCUUGAGGAAGGUGGCUUGAGAUUCGUCUUAAGUGUUUAUAGCCUCUUGCCUAUGCAGUCGGAGAGAUUGAGGUCUGCAGCGUAGAUCCUUCGGGGCUAAAUGCAUUUGUGCUAAGUUAUAGCAUUUUAUAGACAACUUGUUGACUAUGAUUUGUCUUGUAGCUUACUCGCUUAUGUUAUUUUACCUACGCUUAGGAUGUUGAAGACUCUACAGAGAU